CAAUAGCGUAUAUUAAAGUUGUUGCAGUUAAAAAGCUCGUAGUUGAACUUCUGGUCAAGCGUGACCUUGGCUUCGGUCGAGGCAGGCAUGGCCAUCCGUCAGAAAACCAGGGAGGGUCUUAAGUGAUCGCUCUGGGGAUCUGACACUUUACUUUGAAAAACUAGAGUGUUCAUGGCAGGCUAACGCCCUGAAUACACAAGCAUGGAAUAAUAAGAUAGGACCUCGGUGCUAUUUUGUUGGUUUGCGCACAGAGGUAAUGAUGAACAGGGACAGUUGGGGGUAUUUGUAUUUCGUUGUCAGAGGUGAAAUUCUUAGAUUUACGAAAGACAAACUACUGCGAAAGCAUUUACCAAGGAUGUUUUCAUUGAUCAAGAACGAAAGUAUGGGGAUCGAAGAUGAUCAGAUACCGU
rnacentral:rRNA from 1 species